ensembl:lncRNA
AUGGAUUUUUUGAUGGCAGAGCCAACUUAUAAACUUCUUAUCUUUUUAUGCAUGAUACGAGGAAUGUACGGAGUGCUUAUACAUUAUGAUGUGAACGUAAAUGCUGUGGAGGGACAGAACGUCAGCCUGCAGUGCAUUGUGGGAGAGGAGCAUGAAGUCACAAUUAUCCAGCUGGAAUGGAUUAAACAGCAAAAAGAAAAUGAGAAGAUCGAUCAGAAGAUUGUUGUGUUCCAUCCUGGGUACCCAACAUAUUAUAUUAAAUCCGGUUCUCUUCUGGAGACAGUGACCAGUUCAAAAACUGGGAAGCUGCAGGGCUCAAUCCUGACCCUGUAUAAAGUUGCAGUGAAUGAUGGUGGAAACUAUAUUUGCGAAAUUACAUCUUAUCCUAAUGGCUCAAUUAAAAGAACCACAAAGCUCCAAGUCACAGAGCCUCCAGCAUCAGUGAAGAUGUCAUAUCCAUAUGGAUUCAUAAAAGAAGGAGACGACGUGAAAAUAACUUGUUCAGCUAGCCCUCCACCACUCCGUUAUAAACUUGCAAGGUCAAAGGACCAGAUAUUUUGGCUGGGAAGCUCAAACGGAGAGAUCAUUAUAUCAAACAUCACCAGAAACGACAGCGAUGUGUACAUCUGUUUACCUGAAUGGGACUCAUUAGUACAAAAUCAGCAAGGUCUCAAUGCCACCAUGGAACUGACUGUGAAUUUUCUUGAUGGCAUUGAGUGUAACACAAGCAGCCCUUUAAACGUCAGUGUUGGUGAGGAUGUGAUGAUUUCUUGUAUCGCAAAAGCAUCACAGUACUUGCAGUAUAAGUGGAUGAGGGGUGACACAACACUGUCUCUGUCAGACACUUUGUCUCUGACCUCCGUAACAUCUGACCAGUCGGGAACAUACAAUCUGACAGCUGUCUUUCUGAACAAUCAACUCCAGACAGACAUGCAGUUUUCUAUCCAUGUUCUCUCAAUGCAAAGCCAAGGAAUGACAACUUCUUGCCCAGUAAGUACCACCCAACAUCUGAGCAGCUUUACCUCCAAUGGGACCAGCGAAUGGAGCACUGAUACCACUGUGUCUACAACAGAAUCUGGUCACUUCCUAGCUAGCACAAUAAAACCAAAUGCCACUAAGACAAGCCUACAACCCAGACACACCAGUCAUCCUCCUCCUCUCACUGGCAGCUCUUCUGCUCCACCUGUUGGCAAUGCAUCUACAUUACAUGCAAGCACUGUAAAAUCUCCAGAUUCCUCUACAGACAGUUUGAGCACAACUCCAGAUCCAGCUACCAGAAGAGAAAGAGUCUCCAAUGUUAUAACAAAGAAAACCUUUCCCCCUGUUACAGCACAAAAAGAAUGGAUAUGCCACCUCCAUUCAAACCUCCCCCACCACCAGUGAAAUACACAUCAGUGAGGAACCAUGAUGUCUAUAUGACUGAUAUUCUAGUGUGAAUGUAUCAUGUACCUGAGAACCCACAAAUCGUGGGCCACAAAAAUGCUGACAUUGAAGAUUUUUCCCUAAAGGCCUCACCCCCCCAAAAAAUGUUUCAUCAAUUACUCAUCCUCAUGAAGUUUCGUUCAACUUCAAAAUGCAAAUGAAGAUAUUUUUAAGAAAACCUAAGAGAUUUCUGACUUUCCAUUGAAAGUCCACGCAACCAGUACUUUGGUGCUUCGAAAAGUUCAUAAAGACAUUGUAAAUGUAACCCACAUUUAAUUCAAGUCUUCUGACGAGGCAGUCACUUUAUAUGAUGAACAGAUUUAAUUUAAGCUUUUAUUCACAUAUAAACAUUAAUCAGUACAUAGAGUACAUCAAAUAUAUUAUAUGUUUUUGGAAGUCUUAUGGACUUAUAAUUUUGGGGUGAAUUAACUCUGUAACAUUUUAUUUUGUUAUAUUUUUGGUUAUUGUGACAUCACCCUCAUUUUCAUGUUUUUAUGUGUUUUUAAAGUUUUUUUUACUUAUUUUCUUUGUGUCUCUGAACUGAUUGUUGAAUGGAUACAAUACGUUACUCUUAUAAAUAAUUAGUUUGUUGUUUUUUAACUGAAAACUGACUGAAUGUGACUGAAUUUUGCUUAACUGUGCUUUACUGACAUUAAAUAUAUUAUUGAAUAUCUUGAAUAUCUUGAGUUUUACUUAGCGCACAUCCUACAUCAGAACUAUGUAAAAAAAAAAAAAAAAAAUUGUGUGAGGGUGGGGUGUGUGAGGAUGCGGUCAAAAACCGGGUAAAUUCCAUAAAUAUUAAAUAUGACUAGGCCUUAGAGUUUAAUAAUACACACACACACACAUAUGUGUGUGUGCCAACACUGACCUCCUGUUGUGGCUGUGUGUUCUGUUAACAAAGCGAAGGCUAUCAGCUGAUUGUUUCAGGCCUCAUAAAACCUCAGUUUACACCUCAGAUAGUCGAGACAAACCAACUGCCAAAACCACAUCAGACAGUGACCAACAGAGACAGCAUGUAUCCUUAACCUUACAGGUCUAAUCUACAAAUACAAAUUCCAGCUCUGGUCACUAUUUAUUAUAACUUGCAGUAACAGCACAGCUGGUGGUUGUUUAUAUGGUGCUAAGAACAAAGCAGAAUUUAGUUCUGUUCAUGCUGCUUAUACAACAUCCGGCAUUUUAAAAUGCAGUUUACACCUUAAAACAAGCCUCCAUUCAAUGUGGGAGAAGAUGGAAAUGAAAGGCAUUUCUGAUUUAUGAACAGAGACAUAUGAAUAUUAGAGAGUGUAUGUGUGUUAAGACAGAGAAAACUAGAGAGAGAGAGAGAGAGAGAGAGAGAGUGAGUGAGAGUUGUACAGAGUUUUAUGCAUUGUGGUUCUUUGCUACAACAGCGACACGUUUAUGCAGAGGGACGUUUCCUGCUCUCGCUCUUGUGGUCGGAAAUGGAAAAUUCAGAAAAAAAGGAUUGAUUGUUUCAGUGUCUAGAUCAUCUGUAUCCUGCACUGUAUACAAUCAGGUCUCCAAUGUAUUAUUGUACUUCAUGAUGUAUAUAGGUCAUUUACCAAUAAUGCAUGAGAAAAAUACUCAAUUGUGUAAAGAAUGUGCAAAAUUCUAUUUCCAUUUAUCUUUGCCUCACAGAAUAAAGUACAGUGUGUGAGAGUUCUGUUAUACA